UAGAGAAGCAUACUCACAUCCUGGCUCCUUUCUGCUAGAGAGAAAACAUUCUAGAGAGCAGAUGGUACUGAAAUCAUCCACAGGGUCUGGGCCACCAAUAUGAGAAUCCCUACCAAUUUUGAGUGCUCUGUGGGAAAGCUAAUGCAGCAAGAGCAUGAAAAAAAAUUGAGGAUGGCACAUGAUACAGAAAGCAGAAAGGAACCCAAGAGGAAGUCACACAUCAUGGAUCCAUGGAGCCCAACAUCACUGGGCUGUGUUGCCAAGAUGGCACAGCUCAGGCGUUGCUGCUGGAAGUGCUGGCACUUAGCUCCGGGAAAUCAGUGGGACUCACUGUGGAGCAAAGUAUUAUCAGCGAGAUAUUUUAAUGAAGACAUAUAUUCUUUAAUAACUGAGGCUUUGUAUCCACAAGUGUGUUCA
rnacentral:lncRNA from 1 species